rnacentral:lncRNA from 1 species
CGUUAGUUAACCCUUUACUGCUCAGCUGCCAGAGGCCUUCUGCUUCUGGGAGGGAUGGGCAGGAAGGGGACCCACCACAUCCCAGCCAGUCACUGUGUGGGGACGCUCCCUGCCUCUCACCCUGGAGAUAACUCUGAGUGGGAGGCGUGGCUCCCUCCUCUGUACAGAAGGGACGCCUGAGGUCCAGUGAGUACAGUGGCCAGCUCAAGGUCACACAGCUUGUCACCAUACUUCCUCCACGGGAGCCUGACAUGGGCCUCGGGCACGCACGGCUGUCUUGGAGUAAUAUCAUUAACCAUGGAGGUGCCCAGUGGGAGACUGGGUCAGGGGCGGAUGAGGCCUUCCCUAGGGCUGGCCACCUGCUGGGGCUGGGCAGGGCACUGGAGCAGGUCUGCGAGCUCUGCUGGGUGGCCUUGGGCAAGCUGGUACCUUCUCAGAGCUGUAGCCUUGGCCCUGGGCCCUCCCAGCGCCUGGCACGAGGGCUCAGCGGGCAGCCGGAUGGAGGAGGAGGAGCAGCUUCCUCAGCACAUUGAGGAGGCCUGGACACCGUCCAUCCUGCUGACUUCCCAGGCUGUGGGGCAGAUGCUGCCGCUCGGAACCCACCCGUGCCCUGCAGACGUACAGGUGUGAGAAGUCUCCUCCCUCAUCAUCCCCUUCAGGCAGCAGCUACUGCUGAGGAGUUGGGGCCGCAUGUUGUGAGGGCCCCAUUCACAGCUUGGGAGCCAGGCUGCAGUGUUCAAGCUCAGCCCCUCUACCUCCUCCCUCCUCCUCUGGUUGGUGAGAAUGUGCUAGUCCUCCGGCUGGGUGUUGAAGGGACUCAACGAGCUAACGCGUCCAGCAUACCCAGCGCUUGGAAGUCGACACAGGCGUGACUGAGGGGAUUUGUCAUCGCCAUGAUUACUACUACAGCCACCCGAUUUACUGCUGUCUUUAGGAGUUUUCUGAUCAGACACACUGAGGACACGCAUGGUGAUUAUGUCUGUGGGUCAGUGUUAGUGUUAGCUAGUCAGUGUUGCCGUUGACUUAUCCCUUGUUUUGGAUUCCAUAACAUCUUCCCACUCAAAACUUUCAGCCGGGUUUCCACAAUCGCACGACUCGAAGCAUCCUCUAAGCUUUCCAGAGAGGGGCAGUUGUUUGUGUUAAUUGUGUCUUAUUUCCUAAUGAAUUUUUGUAUCUUAUAUGUAAAUAUUAUCAUGCAUGUUUUAAAGUAGAAUUCCCUUUCAGAUGGCUCUGACCUCAUCUACUUGUGUCUUGGGCAUUUUUUCCUUCUCUUUGAAAACACUCAAUACGUCAUUUGGACUGCCUUCAGCAGAAACCGAAUACAGUCAACAGUGCCUCGAAAAAUCAGUUUAGAGUGUCAGAUUCUAUAAUCUGCGAACUGGCAUACGAAAAUGUUAUCAUUUUGUUCCAGGACCCCCUAAGAGUAAACGGAGGCUCUCCUUUGAAAAAUAUUGAGUUGUAAGAG